rnacentral:RNase_P_RNA from 1 species
GGAGUCGACCGGGCAGCCGCCGUAUCGCUGCAUGUGAUACGGAGGAAAGUCCGGGCUCCACAGGGCAGGGUGCCAGGUAACGCCUGGGGGGCGCGAGCCCACGGAAAGUACCACAGAAAAUAUACCGCCUGGCGCUGAUGCGUCGGGUAAGGGUGAAAAGGUGCGGUAAGAGCGCACCGCGCCGUUGGUAACAGCGGUGGCAGGGUAAACCCCACCCGGAGCAAGACCAAAUAGGGGAGCGCAGCGCCCUCGGGCGCAAAGGCGUGGCCCACGCCGUUCCCGGGUAGGUCGCUAGAGGUGCGCGGUGACGUGCAUCCCAGAUGAAUGGCUGUCCACGACAGAACCCGGCUUACAGGUCGGCUCCCGUU